rnacentral:rRNA from 1 species
CUAUUGGUGACGCGGAGGGUCUUACCGAGUUUACAACUCCCAAACCCAAUGUGAACCAUACCAAACUGUUGCCUCGGCGGGGUCACGCCCCGGGUGCGUCGCAGCCCCGGAACCAGGCGCCCGCCGGAGGGACCAACCAAACUCUUUCUGUAGUCCCCUCGCGGACGUUAUUUCUUACAGCUCUGAGCAAAAAUUCAAAAUGAAUCAAAACUUUCAACAACGGAUCUCUUGGUUCUGGCAUCGAUGAAGAACGCAGCGAAAUGCGAUAAGUAAUGUGAAUUGCAGAAUUCAGUGAAUCAUCGAAUCUUUGAACGCACAUUGCGCCCGCCAGUAUUCUGGCGGGCAUGCCUGUCCGAGCGUCAUUUCAACCCUCGAACCCCUCCGGGGGUCCGGCGUUGGGGAUCGGGAACCCCUAAGACGGGAUCCCGGCCCCGAAAUACAGUGGCGGUCUCGCCGCAGCCUCUCCUGCGCAGUAGUUUGCACAACUCGCACCGGGAGCGCGGCGCGUCCACGUCCGUAAAACACCCAACUUCUGAAAUGUUGACCUCGGAUCAGGUAGGAAUACCCGCUGAACUUAAGCAUAUCUAAA